rnacentral:tRNA from 1 species
GAAGCCGUUGAAAUCCGGCCUGUCGGGUGCGAUGGCAUUGCAGAGGUCAGGGGUUCGAUCCCCCUCGGCUCCACCA